GCUGAGUAUGGUGGUGCAUGCCUGUAAUCUCAGUGAUUUGGGAGGCUGAGACAGGAGGAUUGCAUGUUUGAGGCCAACCUCAGCAGCUCAGUGAGGCCCUAAACAACUUAGUGAGACCCUGUCUUAA
rnacentral:sRNA from 1 species